rnacentral:rRNA from 1 species
UACGUAGGGUGCAAGCGUUAUCCGGAAUUAUUGGGCGUAAAGAGCUCGUAGGCGGUUUGUCGCGUCUGCUGUGAAAACUGGAGGCUCAACCUCCAGCCUGCAGUGGGUACGGGCAAACUAGAGUGCGGUAGGGGAGAUUGGAAUUCCUGGUGUAGCGGUGGAAUGCGCAGAUAUCAGGAGGAACACCGAUGGCGAAGGCAGAUCUCUGGGCCAUUACUGACACUGAGAAGCGAAAGCAUGGGGAGCGAACAGG